rnacentral:rRNA from 1 species
CGCACGGGUGAGUAACGCGUAUGCGACCUGCCCGUUGGCAGGGGGAUAAUCGGGAGAAAUCCCGUCUAAUACCGCGUAACGCCGCGGGGCUGCAUGGCCCUGCGGCCAAAGGGAGCGAUUCCGGCAACGGAUGGGCAUGCGUGACAUUAGCUAGUUGGCGGGGCAACGGCCCACCAAGGCGACGAUGUCUAGGGGUUCUGAGAGGAAGGUCCCCCACACUGGUACUGAGACACGGACCAGACUCCUACGGAAGGCAGCAG